rnacentral:lncRNA from 1 species
CCCCUCCUUGAUCCACAGGGCCACCUAGAACAGGUGCCACCACCCCCAUGGCCCCUCCUUGAUCCACAGGGCCACCUAGAACAGGUGCCACCACCUGUUGUGUCCCACCUCAAUCCACAGGGUCAUCUAGAACGUGGGCCACCACCCCCAUGGCCCCUCCUUGAUCCACAGGGCCACCUAGAACAUGGGCCACCACCUGUUGUGUCCCACCUCAAUCCACAGGGUCACCUAGAACGUGGGCCACCACCCCCAUGGCCCCUCCUUGAUCCAUAGGGACACCUAGAACAGGUGCCACUACCCCCAUGGCCCCUCCUUGAUCCAUAGGGACACCUAGAAUGUGGGCCACCACCCCCGUGGCCCAUCCUUGAUCCACAGGGACACCUAGAACAUCACCCUGUGGUCCAGGGGCCAUCACCCAAUGUCCUGCCAGUCUGUAGGGUCACUUAGAAGAGCCCUAUGUCCCACAGGUGCCACCACCCCUUGUGUCCCCCUCAAUCCACAGGAUCACCUAGAACAGCCCCUGGUGCCACCACCCCUUUGUGUCCCCCCUCAGCCCAUAGGGUCACCUAAAAUGUCACCCUGUGGUCCAGGGGCCAUUACCCAAUGUCCUGCCAGUCUGUAGGGUCACCUAGAACAUGGGCCACCACCCCUAUUAUUCCUCCUUGAUCCACAGGAUCAACAAGAACAGACCCUGGUGCCACCACCCCCUUGUGCCCCUCUCAGCCCACAGGGUCACCUAGAAUAGCCCCUGGUGCCACCAUCCCCAUGGCUCCUCCUUGAUCCACAGAGUCACCUAGAAUGUCACCGUGUGGUCCAAGGGCCACCACCCAGUGUCCUGCCAGUCUGUAGGGUCACUUAGAAGAGCCCUAUGUCCCACAGGUGCCACCACCCCAUUGUGUCCCCUCUCAGUCCAUAGGGUCACCUAGAACAGCCCCUGGUGCCACCACCCCCUUGUGUCACCCCUCCAUCCAUAGAAUGACCCAGAAUGUCACCCCAUGGUGACCACUGUGUGCUGCUGGUGGCAGGGGCAAUGCAAUGGGGACACGGGGACAUGGGGACACGGGGACAUCACAGCGACAUGGGGACACGACAGGGACAUGGGGACAUCACAGGGACAUGGGGACACGGGGACAUGAGGACAUCAAGGGGACAUGGAGACAUGGGGACACGGGGACAUGGGGACACGGGGACAUGGAGACAUGGGGACAUCACAGGGACAUGGGGACAGGGGACACAGGGACAUGAGGACAUCAUGGGGACAUGGAGACAUGGACAUGGGGACACGGGGACACCAGGACAUCAUGGGGACAUCAUGGGGACAUCAUGGGGACACAGGGACAUGGGGACACAGGGACAGGGACACACGGGGGGGACGGACGGACAGACGGACACGGGACAGACAGAUGGACACGGAUGGACACAGGGACAGGGACACACGGCGGGACGGACGGACAGAUGGACACAGACGGACACGGAUGGACAUGGGGACAAUGGACAGGGGACACACAGGGGACUGACAGACAUGGGACAGACAGAUGGACACGGAUGGACAGGGGACACACGGGGGAUGGACAGAUGGACAUGGAUGGACAGGGGACAGACGGGGACUGAUGGACAUGGGACAGACAGAUGGACACAGGGACACGUGGGGGGACGGACGGACAGACGGACACGGAUGGACACAGGGACACACGAGGGUCGGACAGAUGGACACGGAUGGACACAGGGACAGGGGACGGACAGAUGGACACGGAUGGACACAGGGACAGGGGACGGACAGAUGGACAUGGAUGGACACAGGGACAGGGGACAGACAGAUGGACAGGGGACAGACGGGACAACGGACAGGGGGACAGAUGGAUGGGGGGACAACGGGGGGACAGACGGACACACGGGUCUGUGCGUGAGGGGGACACGGAGAUGGACAGAGAGGACAGAGAGGGGACAAUGGACAGAGGGACACAGGGAUGGACAGGGGACAGGCAGGGGACAAUGGACGGGGGGGAUAGAGGGGGGGACAGACGGACAGUAGGGACAGAAGGACAGCGGGGGCAGGGGACAGAGGGAUGAUUGACAGGGGGACAGACAGACAGAGGGGACACCGAGGGACAGAUGGACGUAGUUACACUGAGGGACAGACGGACGUGGGGACAGCGGGCAGGAGGUGACAGAGGGGAGGGGACAGAUGGCUACGAGUCACUGUGGCAGGACGGACAGACGGACAGGGAUGGACAAUGGGGGGCACAGACAGACGGACAGAGCGGGGCACGGACAGACAGGGAUGGACAGAUGGACAGGGAUGGACAGUGGUGGGGACAGAUGGAUUGGGGGGAGGGUUGGAUGGCAGACAGACAGACAGACAUGGGGGGGGGAUGGAUGGAUGGAUGGACACGGGGAGGACAUGGACAGACAGACACAGGGAGGACAUGGACAGACGGACACAGGGAGGACAUGGACAGACAGACAUGGCAGGGGAUACAGAUGGACGGACGGACACAUGGGGGAACAUGGAUGGACAGACAGACACGGCGAGACAUGGAUGGACAGACAGACGGGGGGGAAUGGACAGACGGACAUGGGGAGGGGACAUGGAUGGACAGAUGGACACAGGGGGACAUGGAUGGACAGACGGACACGGCGGUGGGGGGAUGACACAGACAGACACAGGAGGCGGGACACGGACGGACAGACAGACACGGACAG